UACAGAGGUCCCAAGCGUUGUUCGGAUUCACUGGGCGUAAAGGGUGCGUAGGUGGUGGAGUAAGUUUGAUGUGAAAUCUCCGGGCUUAACCCGGAAACUGCAUUGAAUACUAUUUUGCUGGAGGUUUGGAGGGGGGACUGGAAUUCUCGGUGUAGCAGUGAAAUGCGUAGAUAUCGAGAGGAACACCAGUGGCGAAGGCGAGUCCCUGGACAACACCUGACACUGAGGCACGAAAGCUAGGGGAGCAAACAGG
rnacentral:rRNA from 1 species